GUCUUGGCUUGCGGCGACGAGCUCCGGGCCGGGAUCUCCACCGCCGAGACAAGGGGUCGCUUCGGCGCCGUGCCCUAAUCGGAGCUGCUGGUCUAGGUAUGCAAUCAUCAUCUCCGCAGGCUGUUCUCACUCUUUGAAGGUCAUUUCAUUAAUUACCAAAUGCUCAACAGAACUUAUUCAAUGGAUGUCUCUUUCUAUCAAAACUCAACAGGUUCUUGAUCAGUGCUUUUCGAUAGGCCAUGCCUUCAAGGUGCAUUUGCAUACGGGCUGACGGGAGAGGGAUGCACUAACAAAAGCCAUAGAUUUCAGAAUCUUUUGUUCCUACAUGGAAAAGUUUUGGAUUGACCUUGGCAUAGGCUAUUGGCUGAAGUCUCUGGCUACUGUUAAGAAUGUUACGCAAAGGGAAAUACAAGUUUAUGUAAAGCUUUCUCCAGGGAUGGAGAUGGAAAGCUGGGUUUUGGAGCUUGAAUGUUCCUCGAGAUCCAUCCACGGAGACGUCUCCUUGCUCUUCUGUG